rnacentral:rRNA from 1 species
UACGUAGGGACCAAGCGUUGUUCGGAUUUACUGGGCGUAAAGGGCGCGUAGGCGGCGUGGCAAGUCACUUGUGAAAUCUCCGGGCUUAACUCGGAACGGUCAAGUGAUACUGCUGUGCUAGAGUGCGGAAGGGGCAACUGGAAUUCUUGGUGUAGCGGUGAAAUGCGUAGAUAUCAAGAGGAACACCUGUGGCGAAGGCGGGUUGCUGGGCCGACACUGACGCUGAGGCGCGAAAGCUAGGGGAGCGAACGGG